rnacentral:rRNA from 1 species
GACGAACGCUGGCGGCGUGCUUAACACAUGCAAGUCGAACGGAAAGGCCCGGCUUUUGUUGGGCGGUCGAUUGGCGAGCGGGGGAGUAACACGUGAGUAACCUGCCCCUGACUUAGGGAUAACUUCACGAAACUGGGGCGAUUAUCGGAUAGGAUCUCUUGCUGCAUGGGGGGGGUAGGAGAGUUCCGGCGUUGGGGGAUGGUCUCGCGGCUUAUCAGCUUGAUGGUCUGGUAGGGGCGUACCACGGCUUUGACGGGUAGGCGGCAUGGGAGGGUGGCCGGCCACAUUAGGCCUGAGAUACGGCCCAGACUCCUACGUGACGCAACGGUGGAGAGUAUUGCACAGCAGGCGGGAGCCUGAUGCAGCGCCGCCGCGUGCGGGAUGACGUCCUUCUGGUUGUAAACCGAUUUCGCCUGUGACGAGGCGUUAGUGACGGUAAUGAAUAAGGAAGCCCCGGCUAACUACGUG